CUUCAGCGAGCCGAGCCACAACGGCGUCUCGCGCUCCUGACCGUAGGUGGCCAGCAGCGCCUGCGCCUC
rnacentral:antisense_RNA from 1 species